CCUACGGGAGGCAGCAGUGAGGAAUAUUGGUCAAUGGCCUGAAGGCUGAACCAGCCAUGCCGCGUGAAGGUCAGUGCCCUAUGGGCGUUAAACUUCUUUUGUGCGGGAGCAAUAAUGGUCACGUGUGGCCAGACGAGAGUACCGUACGAAUAAGCAUCGGCUAACUCCGUGCCAGCAGCCGCGGUAAUACGGGGGAUGCAAGCGUUAUCCGGAUUUAUGGGGUUUAAAGGGUGCGUAGGCUGGGAGGUAGGUCAGCGGUGAAAUGCCCCGGCUCACAGGGUGAAGUGCCAUUGAUACUGCCUUGCUGGAAUGCGGAUGCCGUGGGAGGAAUGUGUGGUGUAGCGGUGAAAUGCAUAGAUAUCACACAGAACACCGAUUGCGAAGGCAUCUCACGAAUCCGCGAUUGACGCUGAUGCACGAAAGCGUGGGUAUCAAACAGGAUUAGAUACCCUUGUAGUC
rnacentral:rRNA from 1 species